UACGAAGGGGGCUAGCGUUGCUCGGAAUGACUGGGCGUAAAGGGCGCGUAGGCGGAUGGCACAGUCAGAUGUGAAAUUCCCGGGCUUAACCUGGGGGCUGCAUUUGAUACGUGUUGUCUAGAGUGAGGAAGAGGGUUGUGGAAUUCCCAGUGUAGAGGUGAAAUUCGUAGAUAUUGGGAAGAACACCGGUGGCGAAGGCGGCAACCUGGUCCUUGACUGACGCUGAGGUGCGAGAGCGUGGGGAGCGAACCGG
rnacentral:rRNA from 1 species